rnacentral:rRNA from 1 species
AUUGAACGCUGGCGGCAUGCCUUACACAUGCAAGUCGAACGGUAACAGGUCUUCGGAUGCUGACGAGUGGCGAACGGGUGAGUAAUACAUCGGAACGUGCCCGAUCGUGGGGGAUAACGGAGCGAAAGCUUUGCUAAUACCGCAUACGAUCUACGGAUGAAAGCAGGGGACCGCAAGGCCUUGCGCGGACGGAGCGGCCGAUGGCAGAUUAGGUAGUUGGUGGGAUAAAAGCUUACCAAGCCGACGAUCUGUAGCUGGUCUGAGAGGACGACCAGCCACACUGGGACUGAGACACGGCCCAGACUCCUACGGGAGGCAGCAGUGGGGAAUUUGGACAAUGGGCGAAAGCCUGAUCCAGCCAUGCCGCGUGCAGGAUGAAGGCCUUCGGGUUGUAACUGCUUUGUACGGAACGAAAGACUCCUUCUAAUAAAGGGAUCCAUGACGUACCGUAAGAAUAAGACACCGGCUAACUACGUGCCGAGCAGCCGACGGUAAACCUAACC